rnacentral:rRNA from 1 species
CCUACGUGCGGCAGCAGUGAGGAAUAUUGGUCAAUGGGCGCAAGCCUGAACCAGCCAAGUAGCGUGAAGGAUGACUGCCCUACGGGUUGUAAACUUCUUUUAUAAGGGAAUAAAGUGAGGCACGUGUGCCUUUUUGUAUGUACUUCAUGAAUAAGGACCGGCUAAUUCCGUGCCAGCAGCCGCGGUAAUACGGAGGAUCCGAGCGUUAUCCGGAUUUAUUGGGUUUAAAGGGAGCGUAGAUGGGCCGUUAAGUCAGUUGUGAAAGGCUGCGGCUCAACCGUAAAAUUGCAAUGGAUACUGGCAGCCUUGAGUACAGUUGAGGUAGGCGGAAUUCGUGGUGUAGCGGUGAAAUGCUUAGAUAUCACGAAGAACUCCGAUUGCGAAGGCAGCUUACCAAACUGUCACUGACAUUGAGGCUCGAAAGUGUGGGUAUCAAACAGGAUUAGAUACCCUGGUAGUC